AGAGUUUGAUCAUGGCUCAGAACGAACGCUGGCGGCAGGCUUAACACAUGCAAGUCGAGCGCGGGACUUCGGUCCUGAGCGGCGGACGGGUGAGUAACGCGUGGGAACGUGCCCUUUUCUCCGGAAUAGCCCUGGGAAACCGGGAGUAAUGCCGGAUACGCCGAGUCAUGGCGACAUGGCUUGGGAAAGAUUUAUCGGGGAAGGAUCGGCCCGCGUCGGAUUAGGUAGUUGGUGGGGUAACGGCCUACCAAGCCGACGAUCCGUAGCUGGUUUGAGAGGAUGACCAGCCACACUGGGACUGAGACACGGCCCAGACUCCUACGGGAGGCAGCAGUGGGGAAUCUUGGACAAUGGGGGCAACCCUGAUCCAGCCAUGGCCGCGUGAGCGAUGAAGGCCUUAGGGUUGUAAAGCUCUUUCAGCGGGGAAGAUAAUGACGGUACCCGCAGAAGAAGCCCCGGCUAACUCCGUGCCAGCAGCCGCGGUAAUACGGAGGGGGCUAGCGUUGUUCGGAAUUACUGGGCGUAAAGCGCACGUAGGCGGACAGUUAAGUCGGGGGUGAAAUCCCGGGGCUCAACCCCGGAACUGCCUUCGAUACUGGCUGUCUGGAGGUCGAGAGAGGUGAGUGGAAUUCCGAGUGUAGAGGUGAAAUUCGUAGAUAUUCGGAGGAACACCAGUGGCGAAGGCGGCUCACUGGCUCGAUACUGACGCUGAGGUGCGAAAGC
rnacentral:rRNA from 1 species